rnacentral:lncRNA from 1 species
AUGUUCAGACCUGCAGGACGACUGUACCCCCACCCCGGGGGUGCUAAGACCCGGAGUGGGACCAACCUGAGUUCACAGCUGCCAGGGGGGCAGGGAGCCGAGCGCGCCCCCUCGAGGUUAGCGCGGACACAGGAGGACGUCACCGGUCACUCGGGACGUCUUCCACCCUCAGCCACGCCACGGGGGAGGCUUGGUUUGGAAAGCGCUACGACCCCCCCACCCCUGUCACACUGCUGCUUUCAGCUAAAACACAGGGUUAGCUGGAAUUUUCGUCCAGACCUCAAAGAUCUGGUCGCAUUGUCUGCGACGUUUCCUUCGGAGGGCUCCUCCCCCGUGCUUAACAAAAAGGGCGAAGAUCUGAGCGCCUGGGGAGCUUGCGGGAUGUGGAUAAAGGCCGGGCCACCCCGGUGCCACGGCUGCAGAGAAGCGCAGAAUAACGCAGGGAGGGAAGCCUUCAGAAGUGGACGCAUUGGAGCAGGACUGACAGUCACCUGUCCACUCGCCCGGAGGUUAAUAAGAGACUGUUUGAUGGGGCCACAGAAGAAGGGCACUGGGAACUGAACCCCAACCUGAUGGAUUAGUCUUAUGCCUGUCACAGCAGCCCAAGGUCAGAAUUCAGUGCGCUUGCGGCCAGCAGCCUUGCUGAAUCUUCUGUGAUGCUCCAGUAUCCAGGUGAGGCACUGUG